GGCCGGAGGGGCUGAGGGAGCAGUGGAAGAGAGCGCAGGACCUCCCCAGGUGCUGGGCCAUGGCGGCAGCCUGCCUGGAGAGGAGCUGGUUAUCCACAGCAGAAGCUCUUCAGCCAGAGAUUUUUCCUUCCAUUUGGCAGCUGCUGCCAGAGCACAUCAAAACACAGCAAAAACAUUAACAUUAACAAAAACAUUUCCCUUUCCCGGGAAAGGGGAGAGUAGGAAGGGGAAUGUUGAAGAUUGUCAUCCAGUUUAAUCAAUGAGCAAAUCAAGGCAAAACAUGUUCCAUUUGUGUCUCAAACUCACCAGCAGAGUUCAAACAGAAAGCAGCCAUCUUCACCAUUAAUCUCAUUUCAGCCAUGAGAAAAUCUAUCUACCUGCAGCACUGCACAGCUCACCACGAUGGAGCCCAUAAGCUCCCCAUCCUUCGCUGUGCCAUUAGCAGUAGAGUCCAGAAUAAUGUUUUCAGCGAUGUUUUGGUGGUUAGGUGUCUUCUAGCUGCCCAACAUUUCCAUGCCCUUCCCAAAAGCGCACGGUCCCGAAAAAAUGCUGGAGGCUCUUGAGACCCAGUGCAACCUUGAGCAGACAGCGACGUUCAGCCGGUUUGGCAGCCGACAUCGUUUUAACUACCAGGAAGAGAAAAUUGCUGUUGGGAGAAGACGAUGCUGUGGGACUUACAGAUGACACAGAUGGCAGAAUGCAGCCUGAAAUCAAGUUUAAAAGCAUUCUUAAAAUCAAGUAUCACAGGAAAGGUCUCCCUUGUUAGCUACAGAUCAAGUUAAAAUGG